AGUGAACGCUGGCGGUAGGCCUAACACAUGCAAGUCGAACGGCAGCACAGUAAGAGCUUGCUCUUACGGGUGGCGAGUGGCGGACGGGUGAGGAAUACAUCGGAAUCUACUUUUUCGAGGGGGAUAACGUAGGGAAACUUACGCUAAUACCGCAUACGACCUACGGGUGAAAGCAGGGGAUCUUCGGACCUUGCGCGAUUGAAUGAGCCGAUGUCGGAUUAGCUAGUUGGCGGGGUAAAGGCCCACCAAGGCGACGAUCCGUAGCUGGUCUGAGAGGAUGAUCAGCCACACUGGAACUGAGACACGGUCCAGACUCCUACGGGAGGCAGCAGUGGGGAAUAUUGGACAAUGGGCGCAAGCCUGAUCCAGCCAUCCCGCGUGGGUGAAGAAGGCCUUCGGGUUGUAAAGCCCUUUUGUUGGGAAAGAAAAGCAGCAGGUUAAUACCCCGCUGUUCUGACGGUACCCAAAGAAUAAGCACCGGCUAACUUCGUG
rnacentral:rRNA from 1 species